CUAGCCUUUACACGUCACGCGCUGUGUGGUUGUUCGGAGGAGCUCUUAUGCCCCCUGCAAACUAUUUCGUUGAAACCUUGAUCCAAAUGCCCGCGAAAUCAUGUUGAGUUCUUUUUGUAACAUUGAGUACUUUUAAAAGGUACUUAAAUUUCAAAAAUAGUAAUUUCAUGAACUCAAAAGUAAUGUUUAGUGUUUUUCAUCACUUCUGCGAAGACUCUCGGUUCUAUCCCGUCUCUUCCUGACGCAUGCGCGUUACAUUUCGUUCUUCCUAUUAUUCUCCAGCGGCAUAAAACUAAAUAUUCUACUUUGUUUACUGUCAUUCUCUGUGCGGUAUUUUUGCUGCAGACUUAUCAUUUCAUAGUUCAGUCACUGUACGAUAAAGAAAAAAAGACUUAGUAUCCAACUUAGAUCGCAAUAGCACGUGGUGUUCCCAUAGCAACCGCACGCCUUGCGAACUGUGCACCGUAUUCACAAUUUAUGUCUGGCAUGAUGAAACCUCAUCCGAUAGGUACUCAAGAAUUCUUAUGAAAUCUAAAUAAAUCCAAGUACAGGAUAAAUCUACUUGGCCUUCGUUAAGGAUUCAAUAAAUUGCCAACCUACUUGCAAUUUUUGAUAAGUACAAAUUUAUCUUUUUGAAUGGUUUGAAGAAACAAGUGUUUUUGGUGGCACGAUUUUAAAUUUAAAGAUUUAACUGUAUUUCAAGAUUUAACUGUAUUUUAGAAUCCUAUCUUCGAAAUUUUCAACUUGGUGGAGUUCUGAACCUGCGUCCGAAAUGAAAUACUGCCGAUCUGAAAUUUUUUAGUUACAUAAGGCAGAGAAUCAUUAAGACCUAUUAAGUUCUUCAUUGUGUUGAACGAAACCAGCUUUUGACCGAUAUACGUGAACUUGCAAAACUCUUUGUAAAAAAUAUGAAGAUGUAAUCGAAAAUUCUUCUCGUUUGUGAGCCAUGAAUUUAUUUAAAUUUAUUAUAACUGUAGUUUAGUUAUUCACGUCAUGAGUAGAGUGAAACCAGAGAGUAACACUGAGACCGUGUCUUAUACUCCCUCAGUGCCGUCAAUCAUUCCGGUUGGGUCUUUAUCGCCAGCAAAUUCGUCUAAUUCUGGUAUUCCGAGAUCACCAAGUCACGAAUCUUUUGCUACAGACUUAUCUCUAAUGUCUUUGUCAAGCCUAGGCUCGGAAAUAAAUCGGAUGCGUGGCUCUAUUUUUCGGCCUAAGUCCCAUUCUGGGGUUGAUGGUGCUGAUUCAGGAGAUGAAAGACGUAGUCCUGUAAUUAUGGAUGGAGGAGUAGGGGGUUGGGUAGCUCGAAACACAAAACUGACCAGAGGAAACAAUAGUGGUUUAUUGCAGGUUCCUCCUGAGCAGUAUGGUGUGAAACGAGGAGUAGCCGAUGAUGUUUUAUACGAAGAAGAAAAUGAGGCAAUCCGCAACUGUGGUGCUCUAUCUUCUAUGUUAGGUUUAAUGCGGAGCUUCAGUACUAGCGAUCUGGAUCAAAAUAUUUUGAUAAAUUCUGAAGGUGAAAACCUACGAUCAUCUGUAUCUGAAAUGGUUUUGAAUAGCUGGAAACAUUAUGAUAUGCCUUAUGGAAGGUUAGAAUACACUUCACGCUCUUGUUCUACAUGGGUUGCUGUUGGUGAUAUUUCAACUACAUCUCAGUUGCCAUCUCCCCAAACUCUGACGGGAUAUGCAGCAGAACAUCCGGAGAUGACGGCCAUCGAUUUCGUCCGUGCCAUCAACAAAAAAGUCCGCCAGAUGUAUAUCCGCAGGCGUCUGGAGUCCACUUACAAGGCGCUAGAACGACUCACCCGGAGUGAACUUAGCUUGGAUCUGCCCUCGAUUGCUGUUCCUGUUCCAGCAGCUUCCAACAGCGGCCCUCUGGGAUCACUUGAUGAUUCGUCCAACUACCUGGCUACAGAUACCCUACGCUCACACGCCCCAUUGCCACAGUUUCACAUUUCCACUGAGCUCGAUCGAUCCAUUAGACAUGAGCUCCAGAUUUCUUCUGUUGGUUUCCAUGGAGCUAAUAAGACUUUAAGCUUAACUGUAAAAGAUAUCGAGCGAGAUAAGGGAAAGCCGCUUUCAAAAUACGAAAGAAAUAUGAUGAUUUUCAACUGGUUACAGAGCUUAGAUGAAAAUGCUUUCGAUCAGCUGGCAUGAGUCUUCUUUUUCAAAAGAAGGAACUCAAAAAGCGAAGCCAAAAUAUUCUGAUAUAUAAAAAUAAUAAUUCGAUGAAUCAGUUUCUUUCUACUUUUUUUAUUCUAAGCCUUAACCUUAAUCAUCAGAAAAUUAGUUUUUCAUUCUCUGCACCGGAAGUUGUCAAAAUAUAAAUUAAAGAUCGAUUUUUACAUUAUUUUCGUAAGAAUGUAUUAUGAAAUUGUAUGUGCCUACAAAUUUAAAUGCAAUAAUGAAAUUAUCUUAAAAAGUUAUAAAAUUAGUUUAGAAAACCGUUAUUGCCAAGUAUUGAGCAUUUUCUGUAACUAAGAAAUAUAUAUUGUUCGUUAAUGCUUACUUCUCCAUUUUAUUCAUGUCAUCUGUUAUUGCAAUGUAGUUGAAAUUUCUUAUCAAGAGAAAAAUUUUCUGCAGAUCUGUGGACAGUAACUUUAUUAUGUAAAUUAAUGGAAAUAUUCAGUUUGUGAUAACUAUAAUUGUGCAGUUUCGUGUUCUAUAAGUUAUCUUGAUCAAACAGAAUGUGUCAUAAGCUAUUAUGUAUCAUUAUUUACAUAUAUGAGUGUUAUGUUAAAUUUUGGUGGCAUAGCUGAUGAUAUAUGAAUUUUCCUGCGUUGUAACAUCAUAUAUUCUUAUAACGUUAAGCGUAUCAUAAUGUGAAGUAUGUGUUUCCUUGAGGAGAACAUUUUAUCAACAUUUUAUCAACAUUUUAUCAUGAAUUUAUCUGUGAAAUCCUUUCCACUAGACAUUGAAGUGCUGUAUGAUUUUAAAUGCUUAUUAUUAGAAAAUAGUUUUAUGUGCUUGAUACAUUUAGUGCUGGGCAUACUUAAACCAGUGUUUUCCGUGUCUUCUGGGUAAUCAUUGUUUUAGUUACUGGUGCUUCGGGAUAUGUAGCAGCCCAUAUUGUAAAACUGCUCCAAAGUGAAGGGUACAAAGUACGUGGAACUGUCCGAAGUUUACAGAAUGAAGCAAAAGUAAAGCCUUUAAUGAAU